GACAGAGGGGGCAAGCGUUGCUCGGAAUUACUGGGCGUAAAGGGCGCGUAGGCGGGAUGGCAAGUCGGUCGUGAAAUCCCUCGGCUCAACUGAGGAUCGUCGAUCGAUACUGCCGUUCUUGAGGAUUGCAGAGGAGACUGGAAUUCCCGGUGUAGCGGUGAAAUGUGUAGAGAUCGGGAGGAACACCGGUGGCGAAGGCGGGUCUCUGGGCAAUUCCUGACACUGAGGCGCGAAAGCGUGGGGAGCAAACGGG
rnacentral:rRNA from 1 species